rnacentral:rRNA from 1 species
UACGGAGGGUGCAAACGUUGCUCGGAAUUAUUGGGCGUAAAGCGCACGUAGGCGGACCAUCAAGUCGGAUGUGAAAUCCCUCGGCUUAACCGAGGACGUGCAUUCGAUACUGAUGGCCUUGAGUACGAAAGAGGAUCGCGGAAUUCCCGGUGUAGAGGUGAAAUUCGUAGAUAUCGAGAGGAACACCUGAGGUGAAGACGGGUUGCUGGGCUGAUACUGACGCUGAGGCGCGAAAGCUAGGGUAGCAAACGGG